rnacentral:rRNA from 1 species
CCUACGGGGUGCAGCAGUGAGGAAUAUUGGUCAAUGGACGCAAGUCUGAACCAGCCAUGCCGCGUGCAGGAAGACGGCUCUAUGAGUUGUAAACUGCUUUUGUACGAGGGUAAACGCAGAUACGCGUAUCUGUCUGAAAGUAUCGUACGACUAAGGAUCGGCUAACUCCGUGCCAGCAGCCGCGGUAAUACGGAGGAUUCAAGCGUUAUCCGGAUUUAUUGGGUUUAAAGGGUGCGUAGGCGGGCGGAUAAGUUAGAGGUGAAAUCCCGAGGCUCAACUUCGGAAUUGCCUCUGAUACUGUUCGGCGAGAGAGUAGUUGCGGUAGGCGGAAUGUAUGGUGUAGCGGUGAAAUGCUUAGAGAUCAUACAGAACACCGAUUGCGAAGGCAGCUUACCAAGCUACUUCUGACGUUGAGGCACGAAAGCGUGGGGAGCAAACAGGAUUAGAUACCCUUGUAGUC